rnacentral:rRNA from 1 species
UCUACGCAGCACACUUUACUUUACAGCUGUGCUAUUUUGUCCUUGUACAGGUACUUUGUUGUUGUUGACGAUAUAUGGGACGUGGAUAGAUGGGAUAUUAUUAAGCAUGCAUUCCCCGCUACAAGUUCUACCAGUAGAAUAAUCACCACCACUCGUAUGAAUAGUGUGGCUCAUUUAUGUUCUUCAUCAUUCAAUGGUCAUGUUUACAAUAUAAGGGCUCUUGAUAUGGUGCACUCAAGACAGUUAUUUUACACAAGAUUAUUUAAGUCCGAUGAAGAUUUCCCUUCAUACCUUCAAGAAAUUUCUGAGCAGAUAUUGGAAAAAUGCGAUGGGUUACCUUUGGCGAUCAUUGCUAUAUCUGGUUUGUUGGCAAACACAGAAAGAACAGAAAAUAUAUGGAAUCAAGUAAAAGAUUCAAUUGGCCGUGCACUUGAAAGGAAUCCCAGCAUCGAAGGAAUGAUGAAGAUUUUGUCACUUAGUUACUUUGAUCUUGCUGCUUAUCUAAAAACUUGCCUCUUAUACCUAAGCAUAUAUCUAGAAGAUUCUACUAUUGAGAAGAAUGGCCUGAUAAGAAGAUGGAUUGCUGAAAAAUUCAUUCAUAGCGAUGGUAGAUACACGGCAUAUGAGUUCGGAGAAAGGUAUUUUAGUGAACUACUUAAUAGAGGUUUGAUCCAACCUGGAGAGACAAAUAGAUAUGGCAAGGUGAAGAGUUGUCAUGUUCAUGACACAAUUCUUGAUUUCAUCAUAUCCAAAUCAAUAGAAGAGAACUUUGUUUCUUUACUUGGCGUUCCCAUUCUGACAAUUGGGAAUCAAAGCAAAGUUAUUCGUCGACUCUGUCUACAAGGUGUAACAGAAGGAAAUUCAACAGUACUGACAGCAGGUCUUGUGUUGUCCCAUGUCCGAUCACUUAUUGCGGUUAGAGGUCUGUUGGAAAUCCCUUCUUUGAAGGAGUUCAGGCAUCUGCGUGUUCUCCACUUGAUGGAUUGCUCCGAAUUCAAAGAUCAUCAUCUUGAAAAUAUAGUGAGGUUGUUCCAGCUGAGGUACCUGAAUCUCAGAGGUACAGGAAUAAGCAAGCUCCCAGAACAAAUUGGUCGUUUAGGAUGCUUAGAGGUGCUGGACCUAAGAAAGACUUAUGUAAAGGAAUUACCUGCAUCUAUUGUGAAUCUCAGAAAAUUGAUGCAUCUACUUGUUGAUGGUGUUGUUUUUCCUGAUGGGAUUGCAAAGAUGAAAGCACUAGAGACGUUGAAAGAUGUCGAUGCCUCCAUUCAGCCAUUAGACUUCCUAUGCGGCCUUGGUCAACUAAUGAAUUUGAGGAAUCUGCGGCUUGCCCUUGAUUUCGAAUUUGAUUCUGACACUGAGGAACAAAAAAAAGCUCUUGUCUCCUCCCUGCGUAAGCUAGGCACCCGGAAUCUCCGCUCCCUGACUAUUGGGCACCUCUUACAUGAGGAAUCUUUGUGCCUGCCUACCCUUGAGGACCUUUCUAUUCGUUUUUCGGCCUUCCCACAGGUUCUGACAUGGGUUGGUUCCCUCAGAAACCUCCAACGGCUGUGCCUUAUUGUGGAGGGGCUCAAGCAGGACGACCUCUGCACCCUUGGGGCUUUACCCAGUCUGCUCGUUUUGUAUCUGGUGGAACCUCCCUUGAUGACAUGGUCAAACGGAAAGCUCAGAUUCAGUGGUGAAGUUGGGUUCCGAUUCUUGAAGAUUUUUAUUUAUCAUGCACGUUAUGGAUCAUUAGAUCUGAUGUUCGGGGCAGGGUCAAUGCCAAAGCUAGAAAAACUCGAGCUUAAAAAGUUCUGCAUAGAUGAAGCAAACUCUCUCGGCUUUGGAAUUGAGAACCUCCUUUGCCUCACCAGUGUCAAAUGCAUUAAGGUUACUGGUGAUGAUGGCAUAGUUGAAGUCGUCAAGACUGCCAUGGAGAGAGCAGCCAGCAAACAUCCCAACCACCCAAGUCUACUCUUUCAGAAAUUACGCUGA